rnacentral:rRNA from 1 species
CUGGAACGGUGGCUAAUACCUCAUAUAACUGAGAAGUGAAAGAUGAACAAUCACCAAAGACGGGSUUGCGUCGAUUAGCUAGUUGGUAAGGUAAUGGCUUACCAAGGCGACGAUCAGUAGCUGUUCUGAGAGGAUGAUCASCCACACUGGGACUGAGACACGGCCCAGACUCCUASGGGAGGCAGCAGUGAGGAAUUUUCCGCAAUGGGCGAAAGCCUGACGGAGCAAUACCGCGUGAAGGAUGACGGCCUAUGGGUUGUAAACUUCUUUUCUCAGAGAAGAAUUUUGACGGUAUCUGAGGAAUAAGCAUCGGCUAACUCUGUGCCAGCAGCCGCGGUAAGACAGAGGAUGCAAGCGUUAUCCGGAUUAAUUGGGCGUAAAGCGUCUGUAGGUGGUUUAUCAAGUCUUUUGUCAAAGAUCAGGGCCUAACCCUGGGCAGGCAGAAGAAACUAAUAAACUUGAGUUCGGUAGGGGCAGAGGGAAUUCCCGGUGGAGCGGUGAAAUGCGUAGAGAUCGGGAGGAACACCAAAGGCGAAGGCACUCUGCUGGGCCGUAACUGACACUGAGAGACAAAGCGAGGGUAGCAAUGGGAUUAGAUACCCCCAGGCAU